UCCUGGCUUAGGACGAACGCUGGCGGCGUGCCUAACACAUGCAAGUCGAGCGAGGAGAUCCUUCGGGAUGAUCCUAGCGGCGGACGGGUGAGUAACACGUGGGCAACCUGCCUCAUAGAGAGGAAUAGCCUUCCGAAAGGGAGAUUAAUACCUCAUAACAUUGCAGUUUCGCAUGGAACAGCAAUUAAAGGAGUAAUCCGCUAUGAGAUGGGCCCGCGGCGCAUUAGCUAGUUGGUGAGGUAACGGCUCACCAAGGCGACGAUGCGUAGCCGACCUGAGAGGGUGAUCGGCCACAUUGGGACUGAGACACGGCCCAGACUCCUACGGGAGGCAGCAGUGGGGAAUAUUGCACAAUGGGGGAAACCCUGAUGCAAGCAACGCCGCGUGAGUGAUGACGGCCUUCGGGUUGUAAAGCUCUGUCUUCAGGGACGAUAAUGACGGUACCUGAGGAGGAAGCCACGGCUAACUACGUGCCAGCCGCUGC
rnacentral:rRNA from 1 species